rnacentral:rRNA from 1 species
CGGGGGGAGCAAGCGUUGUUCGGAUUACUGGGCGUAAAGGGCGCGUAGGCGGCCACCGCAAGUCGACUGUGAAAUCUCCGGGCUUGACCCGGAAAGGUCAGCCGAUACUGCGGGGCUAGAGUGCAGAAGGGGCAACUGGAAUUCUCGGUGUAGCGGUGAAAUGCGUAGAUAUCGAGAGGAACACCUGCGGCGAAGGCGGGUUGCUGGGCUGACACUGACGCUGAGGCGCGAAAGCUAGGGGAGCGAACGGGAUUAGAUACCCCGGUAGUCCUAGCCUUAAACGAUGAAUGCUUGGUGUCUGGGGGUUUUAUAGUCCCCGGGUGCCGUCGCUAACGCUUUAAGCAUUCCGCCUGGGGAGUACGGUCGCAAGACUG